UCUCCGUAGGUGAACCUGCGGAGGGUUCAUUACUGAGUGAGGGCUCACGCCCGCCCUCCAACCCUUUGUGAACACAUCUUGUUGCUUCGGGGGCGACCCUGCCGGCACUCUGUCGCCGGGCGCCCCCGAAGGUCUCCAAACACUGCAUCUUUGCGUCGGAGUUUAAAACAAAUUAAACAAAACUUUCACCAACGGAUCGCUUGGUUCUGGCAUCGAUGAAGAACGCAGC
rnacentral:misc_RNA from 1 species